rnacentral:lncRNA from 1 species
UGCUAUUCCUACUGCUCUCUCUUCGUCUGCCCACGUGUUCUCGCAUACCCCUAGAGCAUCGAGCCAGCGGGGUGGUGGCACUGGAAUCCUCAUCUCUCCCAAGUUCCCUUGGAGAGUUCAUCAAUGAGCUUGACGCCUUGAUAAGUUCCUUUCCUGAAGAUGGCUCACCUCUCACAGUUCUGGACCAUUUCCGGAGACCUUCUCCCCUACCUCACCUCGCUCAUCAACUCAUCCUUGACCGCUGGCUACGUCCCUUCCGUCUUCAAGAGAGCGAGAGUUGCACCCCUUCUGAAAAAACCUACACUCGAUCCCUCCGAUGUCAACAACUACAGACUAGUAUCCCUUCUUUCUUUUCU